rnacentral:rRNA from 1 species
AGAGUUUGAUCAUGGCUCAGAACGAACGCUGGCGGCAGGCCUAACACAUGCAAGUCGAGCGCACCUUCGGGUGAGCGGCGGACGGGUGAGUAACGCGUGGGAAUAUGCCCUUCUCUACGGAAUAGCCUCGGGAAACUGAGAGUAAUACCGUAUACGCCCUUCGGGGGAAAGAUUUAUCGGAGAAGGAUUAGCCCGCGUUGGAUUAGGUAGUUGGUGGGGUAAAAGCCUACCAAGCCGACGAUCCAUAGCUGGUUUGAGAGGAUGAUCAGCCACACUGGGACUGAGACACGGCCCAGACUCCUACGGGAGGCAGCAGUGGGGAAUCUUAGACAAUGGGGGAAACCCUGAUCUAGCCAUGCCGCGUGAGUGACGAAGGCCCUAGGGUCGUAAAGCUCUUUCGCCAGGGAAGAUAAUGACUGUACCUGGUAAAGAAACCCCGGCUAACUCCGUGCCAGCAGCCGCGGUAAUACGGAGGGGGUUAGCGUUGUUCGGAAUUACUGGGCGUAA